GAGAGGAUCAAACCUGUGGCUGUAGUUCUGGGAUCAAGAGGCAGAAGCUUAAUUCAGAGUGUGCUACAGGGAAGUGUUGGAGAGUACUGCUUCCACCACUGCAAAGCAGCACCUGUUGUCAUCGUUCCUAGAAAAGAUGCUGGAGAUGCAUCAA